UUUUUUUUUUUUGUGACGAGCUCAUCAAACGUCCAAACACUUUGAAAUUUUGCACGCACCUAGAAGAUUCUCUGAACUUUCAUGUGUAAAAAUUUCAGAUAUUUUUGAAUUUAUUGCUAUUUUUUUGAAUUUAUUGUUCAUCGGGAGUAGAUGAGCCUGGGCACCGUUUUGAAUUAUCGGUAUAAUAUGAACUUCUUCUGAAAAAACGUCCAUGUGUCUAGCUUCAUACAUUGCUCGCACCUAUAGAGAAGUUAAAUUCUAUUGAGCUACCAACAUAUGGUGCUUAGCACUUUUCUUGGUAACGAGCUUGAGGCGGCCUGUGAAACCUUCGUUUUUCCCCUAAGAGCAUCUCCAAUAGAAAAUUUAGAUGUAAAAACAGCUAACUUUUAAAUCCCCGAGGCCUAAAAACUCAUCUCCAACAGAUCAUAUAGAUGUAAAACAAUUUACAUCACCUCCUCUAAGUGAUGUAAAAUACAAAACUUGAAGAUGAAAAUUUGCAUCACCAACCGCCUGGUGAUGUAUAUAGCCCACCUCGUCGCCGCUGGUCCUGUUGCAUUUUGCCUCNNNNNNNNNNNNNNNNNNNNNNNNNNNNNNNNNNNNNNNNNNNNNNNNNNNNNNNNNNNNNNNNNNNNNNNNNNNNNNNNNNNNNNNNNNNNNNNNNNNNNNNNNNNNNNNNNNNNNNNNNNNNNNNNNNNNNNNNNNNNNNNNNNNNNNNNNNNNNNNNNNNNNNNNNNNNNNNNNNNNNNNNNNNNNNNNNNNNNNNNNNNNNNNNNNNNNNNNNNNNNNNNNNNNNNNNNNNNNNNNNNNNNNNNNNNNNNNNNNNNNNNNNNNNNNNNNNNNNNNNNNNNNCCCCAUAGCAACAUGCCGAGCGCUGCCGCCCCACCCCGCCUCAGUUGAAGCUCCCCCGCCGCCCGAUCCGAGUUUCACCUGCGUGUUUCGAGCUCUGCCGCCGCCCCGCCCCGCUCCUUGUCUCGAUUUGAAGCUCGGCCGCCUGAUUCAAGCUCCGCCGUCGGCGCCCGUCUCAGCUCGACGCUCAGCCGCCGCCAUGCUGCCGAAGAAAGUGUCGAAGAGCAAGACCGGCUUCUUAGGGGUGCGGAAGAAGCCGUCUGAGAACUUCGGUGUGGAGUUCCAGUGCGAUGGCUAUCGCUACUGGAUCGGCACGUUUGACUUCGUCAACAUGCCCGCGCGUGCGUACGAAAUCGCCAUGUGGCGUUUCUGACGGCCGAGGCGCGAGAUGAACUUUCCGGAGAUCGAGACUCAGGUAGACACGGAGCUAAUUGGGCCGGAGAAUCACAAUAUUUGGCGGAUGGACGAGAAUGAGGAGAAGAAGAACAAGAAGAAGCCAGUGAUUAUCGUUGCUCCCGGCAAUAGUGACGAGGCGGCAAAGGCGAGAUUCACGCGGGAGCAUCCGGAGUAUGUCCAGACCGAGCACGAGUUCUCUAGGAAGCGUGAGGCCGAGCAGCAAAAGAAGGCGGUGAGGAAGGAUGUGGAGGAGGCCGGCGCCUCGGCGGUGAUCCCCGUCUAGUCCGACUCGUCGGACUGGGAUGACUCGGAGGAGGACGAGUGCGACAACCCCAAGAAGAAGGUGUUCUGGGAGCAGUUCAAGAGCGACGGCGAGUAGGCUCGGAGUAGUAGUAGUUUGAUGCAUGUAGUAAUUUGAAGUAUGUUUAAUUAUGUUUAAUAACUAUGUUUGCUUCAAAUGAACUUGCUAUAUUUAAAGUUAUGUUUGGAAUAAUAUAGUAGUUGUACUAGUUUUACAUCUUCAAAUACAUCAUUUGGUGGAGUAGUAGUUUUACAUCACCAAAUAUACACAUCUCUUGAAGUUAGGACUUUUUAAAGAUGUAUAAAAAGAACUUUUUGUUGAUGUAAAUUAUACAUCACUUGCUUUUACAUCUUCUAAUGAAGAUGCUCUAAUGCUCCAAAUGCCCCUUCCGAAACAUACUCGCUUCGUCUCAAGUGUCAAAAAAAUGUCUUACACUUUGAGGCAAAGGGAGUAUUUGAAUGUGCAGUAGGACAAGAAGAUUGCAGAGAGGACCCUCGAGAACACAAGGCGACGAUGUUGCUGCAGUUCAGUUCUUGCUUCGCUGAUGAAUGAUGAUUGUGUUUGGUGUGUAAACAAUGCCGGGCGAAAGUCUUCCCUUCUAAUCUCAAGCUCAAGAGCUCCUGCUAUGAACAGUAAAAGUCUGAUUUUUUUACGACCAACACUGCUUAGUUUUCUAUGUGCAUGCAAAUUUCGUGAUGAAAUUACAUUCGUGGAGGUUUAGAAUUCUUUUCGCAAAAUCAGCAACUCAAAACGCUUUCAAAAAUAUUCUUUCUGGAGCAUUGAUUUUUCUUUUGACAGAGUAUUAGCAAUGUUAUUUUUUUCACAAAAUCAGCACUUUAGUAGUGAUCUAAACACUCUUAUAUUUCUUUACAGAGGGAGUAGAAUAUUCACCGAUGUUUGCUGGCAAAGAAAUCAUGUUUUUUAUUUUUUGUGUUACUGUUUGUUUCAAUUUAAUUGUUCACGAGGGUACAUGCAGAACUUAUAUUUCUACGAUGCUGCAAAGUGGUUUCAGUUCCCUUAAAAGUUGAAAAUUUUAGUCAGGAGGUCAUUGAUGUUUAUAUGCAAACAAUCCAUGUGCCUUCAUGAGAUGCUUGGUUCAUUUGGAGAUCCAGAUGAAAUUUUCGCGAGAGCAAUGACAGUGACGAUAAUCGAACCAGUUUGGGUUGCAGUAUUACUACUGAUUUUGCGAAAAGCAUUAUAAUACUCCUGUACAAAUACUACAAUUUGCAGUCAUUGAAGAAAUCAAUGAAAUUUUGUAGAAAAAAAAGGAGAAAAUAAGGAAAAGAAUGUUGAAUCAGAGCUGCCGAGGAGCAGGAUGGAGCUCAGCGGAGCGGUCGAGCUCGGCGAGCAUGGCCACCCGGUCCAUCUCGUACCCACACACGUCCAUGUCCCCGUCGCCGUCCCCCGACCAGUCCACCCUGCCCACCCGCAUCGUCUCCACGUCCACCGCGUACACCUGCGUCCUGCCGCCCCUGUUCCUCGCCGUGAAGAGCGCCACGCCGCUCUUCUCGCAGAACCACCUCAACCUCACCGCCUGCAGGCCCAUGAGCUCCGUGUUCAGCGUCCACCGCCACUCCUUCCUCCCCGACACGCCGCCGUUCCUCACCGCGUCGGCGUAGACGACCACGUAGGCGCGCACCGCGUCGGCCUUGCACUCCAGCACGCACAGCCUCCCGUCCGGCAUCAGCCCCAGCAGCCGGUCCACCUCGCUGCCGAGGGAGGCCUUGGCGCGGCGCGGCGGCGACUCGAAGGCCUGCACGGUGUAGCCAAAGCUGGACGUGUGCAGCGUGGCCGGGUUGACGGCGAUGCCGAGCCCGUACCAGCAGACGGCGCCGCCCCGCACCAGCGUCGCGUGCGCCCUGACGCCCAGCUGCCGCCCCCUCGCGAUCCGGGCGCCGGUCACCUCCACCUCCGGGCCCCAGCUGCCGUCCUCCGAGGAGUAGCGCCGGAGCGCCGUGUAGCUGCGGUGGUUGUAGAGGAGCAGCACGCGGUACGAGGACGAGGACGUGGACGUGGCCGCGCAUGCGUCGUACAGGUGGAGCCCGUCGUCGGCGGUGAGCAGGGCGCACGCGUACGGCCCCGGGCGGUCCUUGCCGGUCAGGGGCGGGAGCAGGUCGGCGUCGCCGGUCAUGGGGUCGCACACGCAGAGCCGCAGCACGCAGGCGCUCUUGGCGCGGCGGAGGUCCAUCACGACGCGGCCGUUGCGGGACGCGACGACGCGCGACGACGAGCCCGGCACGCCGCCGUCGGUGAUCGAGAGGUCGGGCUUCGUGAAGGGCACGAAGCCGUCGCCGUGCAGGAAGACGCCGACCGCGAGGCGGCGGGCGAAGCGGUCGCAGCGCGGGGGGCCGCGGCGGCAGAUGAAGGCGGCGUCGGAGGAGACGAGGCGGCGCCAGCGCCUGCAAGCGGCAGCGCAGCGGACGAGGUCCCCGGCGUCGGAGAGGGCGGAGAAGACGAGGAGCAGGGUCUCGUCGCACAGGGGCAGCGCCUGGUCGCCGUGCUCGGGCCCGUGCCGCUUGAACGGCCUGCGGCGGGCGGCGAGCCACCCUCUGCUCCCGCCUGCGGAGGGAUCCGUCCCUGCGGCGGUGGCCGGGCGUCGGCGGCGGCCGCAGCGGCGACGUGGCGGCCGUGACGGCGGCAUGAUGAUCGGCCGGUUGGGAUUUGGGGGAGAUCGAGCAAGGGUUUAGGGGGGCGUGUUUACAGAGGUAAUCGCCCAGAUCCGUAAAGGAAGAUCGCCAGAUUUUCCGUCUCAUGGGCCAGUUGGAUCUCCGUUUCACGUCAGAGAAAAAAAAGGACAAAGAAUCGAUGGGCCUGCCUGCCAAUGAUGAAGGCCCAUUGUGGCGUCCCAGCGGCCAGUGGCUGCUUGGUCCUCACUGGCCUAAAAAACACAAAAAAUGCCUCACUGCACUCAUCUCCAUCGCAAGUUCUCAACAACCUCCUCCUUCGCUCACAUUGCCAAAAUGCGUUUGAAAAUAAUAUUUUUGGAGCAUCGGUUUUGUUUUUUUGCCACAUUUUACACAAAUUUCAUCUGGCGAUGAAAUUUUGCAAGCUAUCAAAACAUUUGUCAAAGUUUCAUACAAAAAAAAUCAGAAUUUUCUAAAUUGUUAUCUUUUUAAUUUUAUUGUUCACCCAAGCUCACGUAAGCACGGGAUCAUAACAGCUGCAUAUGGAGAAAGAGGAAUACCAUCCCCUGAUUAUAGCAUGGUUAAUAGUAUAAUCAACUGCUAGUUAUAUGAUGUUGUAUCAUCACUUAUAGUCACUCAUACAACAAGUUUGGCUACAAGAGUAGUACUUCUUUUCACCUUCUUUCUAUCUCUUUCUUCAUAUGUAUUGUAUUUGCGUAGAAGUACGCAUAUAGUUAACUCUUGCAUGAGAACCAUUUCCGUCAUCUUCUAAUGUCUCUGUCCUUCAUAUAGGCAAAAAUGACCUAUAAGCGGGCUAUAAGCCCGACCUGUAAUUGCUUUGAUUAGAGUACAACUCUAACUCGUCAACUUAGGCACACCCCUUUUUCCCUAAAAAAAAGAAUAAGGAAAUUACCCUUCUCGAUCAUGUGCGAUGUUUUAUCCCUUCUUCCCCCAUGAUAAUUCUUACUAGCAUCCACGAAGUAAAUGGAUUUUAUCAAAAAAUUGAAGUAAAUGGAUUUUUAAAGAAGAGUAAUUAAGAUGUAGCAAAAAUUAUGCCUCGACUCGUCCAGAACAUGUUUCGAGAGUGUGUGCUAACCAAUCAACAGGACUUGGAAGCCGAUGUCCCCAUCGCAAAAAUUAUUUGAGAGCAUAAAGAAAGAAAUGUGCGCUGUUGGAUGAAUGAGCAACUAGUAUUCACUGAGGGCCAGAGGCCAGUACAUAUACAUGUGUGGCAAAGUGCAGAGAACCCCCUAUACAUUAGGGAUAUACAGACAAGAGACUAUACACAUCUAACACCCCCCCCCCCUCAAACUCAUAGUGGAUCAACAACACUGAGUUUGGAGAAAAGAAAGCUAUGUUGCGCUCGAGUUUGUGCCUUCGUGAAGAAGUCCGUCAAUUGUAACCCAGAGGGCACAUGAAGAGCAAGAAUCUAAUCUUGCACAGCAGCACGCACAAAGUGGGCAUCCACGCCGAUGUGCUUGGUGAGCUCAUGCUUCACCGGGCCACGCGCAAUACUGAUAACACCGGUACCGUCAGACAGUAAUGGAGUGGAAGUAGAAGCAGCCACACCAAAAUCCUCAAGUAACCAUCGUAACCAGAUCACCUCAGCCAUCAACAUAGCCAUUGCUCGCAACUCAGCCUCGGUGCUCGAGCGAGAAACUGCAGUCUGUUUCUUGAUCUUCCAGGCAAUAAGAGAGCCUCCAAGAAAGACACAGUAAGCAGACAGCGAGUGUCGAUCUGAGGGAUCACUAGCCCGAGUAGCAUCGGAGUAGGCCUGGAGCUCGAGAGAACUGGAGCGAGGGGAAAAGGCGAUGAGAGAUCGUGCCACGAAGAUAUCGUAGAACACGGAGGAGAUGACUAUAGUGGAUAGAGGUGGGGGCUGCAAGAAACUGACUCAGGAUGUGAACAGGAUGGGAUAUGUCAGGACGUGUAACAGCAAGAUAGACAAGGCUGCUAAUGAGGUGACGAUAGCGAGUGGGAUUAGGAAGAGGAUCACCAUCAGAGGCACGUAGCUGAAUGUUGAGGAGUCACAACAGUGCGCUCAUCACCGAGAGCGGCGCGGGCAAGAAGAUCCUGAAUAUAUUUUUCCUGAGAGAUGUAGAAGCCAUCAGAGGUCGAGGAGAUCUCAAUCCCAAGAAAAUAGCGAAGUAGACCAAGAUCGGACAUGAGAAACUGGUUGUGAAGGCGAGCCUUGACAAAGGCAAUAUAGUCAGAGUCGUCACCAGUGAUGAUCAUGUCAUCAACAUAGAGAAGGAGAAGAGUCUGACCACGAGAAGACGUGUGAACAAACAAUGUGGGAUCAUGGUCACUGGGCAAAAAGCCAGCGGCAGUCACCAUAGAGGCGAAGCUCUCAAACCAGGCGCGAGGGGCCUGUUUAAGACCAUAGAGGAAGCGGCGAAGGCGACAGACCAUGCCAUCAGGAGCAUAGUACCCCGGUGGUGGCUACAUAUACACCUCCCCACGUAACUCGCCAUUGAGAAAGGCGUUCUGGACAUCAAGUUGAGAGAUGGACCAAUUGCGAACAGAAGCCACAACAAGGAGAGUGCGGACAGUGGUCAUGUGAGCCACAGGAGCGAAUGUCUCAUCAUAAUCGCGUCCUUGCUCCUGCUGGAAACCACGGGCCACAAGACGAGCUUUGUAGCGCUCAAGAGAACCAUCGGAGCGAGUCUUAACUUUGUAGACCCACUUGCAAGUGAUGGGACGAACACCAGAAGGAGGAGAAACCAGAUCCCACGUGCCAUUGUGCUCAAGCGCCGCAAGCUCCUCGACCAUCACAAGCUACCAUUCAGGGUGAGUCAUGCCGGCCCGAUAGGUGGUGGGCUCAGCAAUGGCAGAAAGACCAUACCGGUCAGGAGAAUAGCGAUCAGGAGGAGGACAAGGCCUAACACGAAGGUUAUGGACCGACGUAGGCGUGAGAGGUGGUGCACCAAAAGUAGAGGCACAUCAGUAGGAUCAGCGCUAGCACGAGGACGACGAGUGUAGUAGUGAGGAAAAGGGGAGUGUGGGUGAAAGACUGGAGAGGAAGGUGGGGAGGGAGAUGAGGAGGAGGGAGGGGAUGGUGGUACCGGUGGUGUAGGGAGACUCCUCUGGGAGAGGGUAGAACAGAGGGCACAGAGGGAGAUGUGUCGGGAAGGAGAAGGAAGGAAAUAUCUUCCACGGAAAAGCUCGAGGAGGAGGGACGCGGAUAGUAAAAACGAGACUCAUCAAAAGUCACAUCACGCGAAAUGCGCAGUCGGCGACCAACAGGAUCCCAACAGCGAUAGCCCUUGUGCUCAUCACUAUAGCCAAGGAAAACACACUCAACUGGCUGAGCAGUCAACUUGGUUCGUUCUCGUGGAGCAAGAAGAACAUAGCACACGCACCCAAACAUACGAAGAGCGGAGUAGUCAGGAGAGCGAUCAGAGAGAUGCUCCAUAGGAAUACCACCCUUCAAGGCAACCGAUGGCUGAAUGUUGAUGAGGUGUGUGGAUGCGGAUACUGCCUCAGCCCAAAAAUGAGGUGGAAGAGAGGCGGCGAUCAUCAUUGCCCGAGCCGUCUCAAGCAAAUGGCGAUGUUUGCGUUCAGCAACGCCAUUCUGAGCAUGGGCACCAGGGCAAGAGAAUUGGGCAAGAGUGCCCUGCUCUGCAAGAAAACCACGCAACAUGUGAGAGAUAUACUCUCCAGAUGAGCCAGCACGGAAGAUACGGACAGACGUGGAAAAUUGAGUGCGAACAAUGGCAGCAAAACGCUUGUAUAUGGGGAGAACCUCGCUGCGAGAUUUCAUACAGUAAAGCCAAGUGUAGCGAGAGAAAUCAUCAAUAAAUAGAACAUAGUAGCGAUGACCCCCUUUCGAGUCAAAAGGAGCAGGACCCCAUACAACAGAAUGAACUAAGUCAAAAGGACGCUGAGAUACAGACUCACUGGUAGGAUAAGGUAACUGGGUCUGUUUGUCAAGCCUACAACCAUCACAAUGCAACGAAACAUCACCAGAGACAGACCCUAAGAUGCCUUGGUGUACUAAUGAGGAUAAGCGAGAGCCACAGAUGUGACCAAGUCGAUGAUGCCACUGCUGGAAGGACACAAAAGAGGAGGCAGCAAGAGCAUGGGAGCUGGCGUAUGUGGUAGCAGCGGAAGGAACACGAAGCCAGUCAACCUCCCAAAGGCCCUCAGACUCACGGCGCCGAGGGCCAGCGCCAACCAGAGCCUGAGUGCGACGAUCCUGAACAGAACAAGAGUCAGCAUCAAGAAUGACACGACAACCAGAAUCAGUAAGUUGGGCAGCGGAAAAGAGAUUCAUGGUAAGACGAGGAACAUGAGAAACACUAGGAACCGAGAAAGAUGGAGUGGAAAGGAUGCCAUGACUAGCAGCAGGAAGAGGUGUGCCAUCGGCCGUGAAAACAUUAAGAGGAAAACCAGGAGGACGAAGAGAAGAUAAAACAGAAGAAUCAGAAGACAUAUGAAAAGAAGCUCCAGAAUCCAGAACUCACGAGGAUGUACCUGUCUGAGUAGGCUCCAGCGGGGGCAGAGUGGUGGUGGCUGUCACGACGGCAACAGAACCCGUCAAGGAAGAACCGGAUGAUGCCAACAUGCGCUUGAGCCGCAGAAUAUCCUGGUCAGUAAGCGACGCAGUCGAGGAAGACGCACGAGUCCCACUAGAUGAAGAGCGCUUCAGGUCUCUCCGCUUCUUGUGACAAUCUGAUUCUGGGUGACCUGGCCUGUUGCAGUAGCCACAGAAGGUGUGCGAGCACGACCGACCCUCUCCUGAAGGAGGGUGAAACGCCCCCCUGGAGGUGUGGGCAGGAGCGGUGGAGUAGUGAGGUGAGCAGACAACACAAGAGCUUGGGCAGCAAGAACAGUGGGAACCACAAGCAGAUCAGCGGACCGAAGAUGUGUCUCCUCAGCACGAAGCUCGGCAAGCACCUCCGAAAUAGGAACACGACCACGAGCAAGCAGGUGAGCACGCCGAGGCUCAAACUUUGAGCGAAGGCGAGGUAGGAACUCGUGGAGACGAUGAAACUCCAAGUCUGACCGCACAGUCUGACAACAGCGGCAAGUACCACAAACCACAGUCUGGAGAGAGUCAAGCUGACGCCAGAUGGCAGAGCUCUGGGAGUAGAACUCAUCAAUAGAAGAGUCACCCUGCUGCAGAGCAUGCUCCUGACGCACCACAGAUAGGUAGAGAGCAUCACCAGAUGGCUGAUAUCGGUGACAAAGAUAGGUCCGCAUCGCAGCAACAGUACCAAGACCCAUGAACUCAGACGCAGACUGGGGUAAGACACUCGCAGUGAGAACCGGAGCCGCUCGAGCAUCAUCGUUGCACCACUGAGUGUAAGCAGACAGAUCAUCCCGGUAAACAGAAAGAGCAUCUGAGUAAGCGGAUACCUGCUGAUCAUAAGCAUCCAUCGCAACAUCAUCAAGGGCCUUGGCUGCAUCCCGAUCAGCCUGAGAAGCGUCGGCAGCAAGAACAGGCGGGACCGGUGGGAUAGGAGCCACAGGAGCAACAUGACAUGGCGGACAGGGGACCUCGCCAGAGAAAACGCCCCACAGGAGAAGACCGCGCAUGUGGAUGCACAUGAAACCCACAAACUCAGCAUAGUUGGUGUCAUCGAAGAUCACCGUGCACCGAGGGACAACCACAUAUCCCGAGGAAGACAUGGUGAGCCUUUUUUUGGUCAACUGCUACAGUGCGCCCGAUCUAGAUCAGGCAGACCCGCUCACGAGGGGAACGAAGCGGGGCUCGAGCAAAUCGAGCGGACAAGGUGGCCAAGCGACAGCUGAAGGCCACGACCAGGAGGAGAUCGCAGCUUGGGCUGCAGAUCCAGAUUGAGGGCCCAUCCAGGCGGGAAGCAGCACCAGGCAAGAGCGGCCGGGACACCGGGCGAGAGCUGCCGGGCUGGGGCGACGUCCAGGCAGAGGCGGGCGGUGGCCAGGUGCAGCAGCAGGGCGGCCAACCGGCAAAGCAGGAAGCAGGGGCGCCCGAUCGGGCGGAGUAGGACAAGGCCGCCUCGAGCGCCGACGGCUAGGGCGCAGCAGGAGCGGGCGCCGGAUCCAGCCGAUCCAGCCGGACGGAAGGAGUCGGGCUUGGCCAAGAGAGAGACGGCCGGUGACGUACGGGAAACAGCCGGAAUCGAGGUGAGCUAGGAGUGGCGCGCACGGAGUUGCAUCGUGCGGGAGAGCGAUGCUAACCUAACAUCUGAUACCAUGUUGGAUGAAUGAGCAACUAGUAUUCACUGAGGGUCAGAGGCCAGUACAUAUACAUGUGUGGCAAAGUGCAGAGAACCCCUUAUACAUUGAGGAUAUACAGACAAGAGACUAUACACAUCUAACAUGCGCUAACACAGGAAGAAGGAUAUAUCUGGUGCAGAAAGUAUCAGGGGCCACAAGAGCUUGAUGAAGAUUGUUGAUGGCGCGACAAAGACAAGUUAUGCAUAAACCUUGUAUAUUCUUUCUUUUUUGCGGGGUCAUAAAUCUUGGAUGUUCAAUCCAAUAAUUAAUUAGGGUACACUUAAGAGAUUUUAUAGAGUAGGGUGGGGGGGGGGGGGCAGUGGCCCCCUUUGGCCCAUGAAGCUCCGCCACUGCACCAAACCAUAUAUGCUCCCAAUUUGAAGAAAUUCAAAUUUGAACAUUCUGAAAAAAUCUAUAAAAAGUAUGGACGUUGGCAACACAUACGUAUACAAUCCCUAAAAAACUCAGAUCCAAAAUCUAAAUAUACGUUGAGGAAUAUAAAAGACAAAUCCAUCAUGGUUAGUGUAAAGCUAAGACACAAGCAAAAUGACAUAUUCAUACAUGAAUUUCUCCUUUUUGUUUCUUCAUGUGCGAAUUUUUGGGGGCUGUGCACGCUUGUCCUGUGAGCACACAUUCCCCUCCAAUGAAUUUUUAGAAACAAUUGUGUCGCGGCAUAUUUAGAGAUAUCUAGCUAUUGAAGACAAGGCUAAGUAAGAAUAACGAAUUGCACGUCAUUUUUUUUAUUGUCCUUUCUAAAUUACGUUACAGCCACAAGAUAGUCCUAUCAACAAUGACCCCGCGCAAAGAUGUUAAGUAAGACAUGCUCUAAGGACUGAUAUAAUUGGAUAUUUUUUUUCCAUGUCCGGUGAAACCAUGCAACGUACAACUAUGCAAAGGACAGGUUUUGGGUCUUCCCUGGCGGCGCCUCAACUGCUCCAAUGGGCAUAUAUAUGCCUAUAUAUGGUGCUUUGUUAAGUCCGUCGUCCGGUAGCACGACAUCGCUGACGCACCAAUUGAGGAAUCGAUGCAAAAAAAAAACAUUGAGGAACGGAAUAGGAAUAUGCGACGCGGUACUGUUUUGCCGGCCCUGAUCUUCCCUGUCGGUGCUGACUUUUGUCAUCUGUUCUUUGUAAAAAAUGUAACGCGGAUUAUCAGCCAAUUUCGCUACAGUUGUAGUAAGAUCUUAAAAGGCGUUUAACAUGAGCAGCAUUUCUCUGCCAUGUACUCUCUCCGUUCCCAAAAAUAUAAGUCUUUUUAAAGAUUUCAAUAAAUGACCACAUACUGUACAAAAUUAGUGAAUCUACAUUUUAAAAUAUGUCUAUAUACAUCCGUAUAUUGUAGUCCAUUUGAAUUGUCUAAAAAGACUUAUAUUUAGAAAGGGAGGCAGUACGUACUGUAGUAGCAAUGGCACUCAAAAAAUAGAUCAUAACAAACAAAACCUAGUAGCAAUGGCACUCCAAAAAUAGAUCAUAACAAACAAAACCGUCAAGCAUUUGAGCUUCACAUACAUAUAAGAGACUGAAAGCUUCAACCGCCAAACGAUACUGCUCAGGUACAGAGCAGCUAAUAGACAGUGGCCGGGGAAGAACACAAGGGGCUGGUGGAAAUCAUCAUAACAACAUGCAACAAGGAGCAAAGGAAAAUCAGCUCAAGAGAUUAUACAACCAUGGCUGGAACUCACAAACAUUACAACACGCACAAUUGCUAGCACAACAAUCAAAUACGUAUAUAUGUAAAUGAAAGCAAGAUCUUGCACAAAAGCAAACACAGCACAGUAAAAAUAACCACCGUGGGAUGCCAGAAAUAUAUCAUCUAAGUUUAACAUCUGUUACAUCACCACAACCAUCAUCAAAACCACAGUCUCAGUAGCACCACAUACAAACAACAAGAUAGUAAGGAAGACACAUAGGGAGAAAAAUACCGCGCCUCCCUUCACAGCAACAGCCAGCAGCAAAAC
rnacentral:lncRNA from 1 species